rnacentral:rRNA from 1 species
AGUUAAGUGAGAAAGCGUACAGGGCGGAUGCCUUGGCAAUCAGAGGCGAAGAAGGACGUGCUAAUCUGCGAAAAGCGUGGGUGAGUUGAUAAGAAGCGUUUAACCCACGAUGUCCGAAUGGGGAAACCCGAUAGGCGAAGAGCCUAUCAUUGCGAGGUGAAUAAAAUAGCCUCGUAAGGCGAACCGGGAGAACUGAAACAUCUAAGUACCCCGAGGAAAAGAAAUCAACCGAGAUUCUGUGAGUAGCGGCGAGCGAAAGCGGAGGAGCCAGUAAGUAAUAGCAGCAGAGAUAGAGGAAUUGUCUGGGAAGGCAAGCGACACAGGGUGAUAGCCCCGUACUUAAAAUCCAGGCUGUGGUACUAAGCUUACGAGAAGUAGGGCGGGACACGAGGAAUCUUGUCUGAAGAUGGGGGGACCAUCCUCCAAGGCUAAAUACUCCUGAUUGACCGAUAGUGAACCAGUACUGUGAAGGAAAGGCGAAAAGAACCCCGGUGAGGGGAGUGAAAUAGAACCUGAAACCCUGUACGUACAAGCAGUGGGAGCCCCAUCACUCAAACACAUUGAGUGGUGGAAGAGGCAAAAAGCACCAAAAAUAACACCGCACUUUAAAGUGUAGGGUACGACGAGCGAAGCGAGUCAAACCCAAAAAUAGCAGUGUGAUUGAGUGAUGGGGUGACUGCGUACCUUUUGUAUAAUGGGUCAGCGACUUAUAUUUUGUAGCAAGGUUAACUGAAUAAGGGAGCCGAAGGGAAACCGAGUCUUAACUGGGCGGUUAGUUGCAAGGUAUAGACCCGAAACCCGGUGAUCUAGCCAUGGGCAGGUUGAAGGUUGGGUAACACUAACUGGAGGACCGAACCGACUAAUGUUGAAAAAUUAGCGGAUGACCUGUGGCUGGGGGUGAAAGGCCAAUCAAACCGGGAGAUAGCUGGUUCUCCCCGAAAUCUAUUUAGGUAGAGCCUUGUGUGAAUACCUUUGGGGGUAGAGCACUGUUUCGGCUAGGGGCCCAUCCCGGGUUACCAAACCGAUGCAAACUCCGAAUACCAAAGAGUAAUGCACAGGAGACACACGGCGGGUGCUAACGUCCGUCGUGGAGAGGGAAACAACCCAGACCGCCAGCUAAGGUCCCAAAAUCUAUAUUAAGUGGGAAACGAAGUGGGAAGGCUUAGACAGCUAGGAUGUUGGCUUAGAAGCAGCCACCAUUUAAAGAAAGCGUAAUAGCUCACUAGUCGAGUCGGCCUGCGCGGAAGAUGUAACGGGGCUAAAAUAUAGUACCGAAGCUGCGGCAUCAAUCGAAAGAUUGUUGGGUAGGGGAGCGUUGUGUAAGCGGAAGAAGGUGAUUUGAGAAGAUUGCUGGACGUAUCACAAGUGCGAAUGCUGACAUAAGUAACGAUAAAACGGGUGAAAAACCCGUUCGCCGGAAGACCAAGGGUUCCUGUCCAACGUUAAUCGGGGCAGGGUGAGUCGGCCCCUAAGGCGAGGCUGAAAAGCGUAGUCGAUGGGAAACGGGUUAAUAUUCCCGUACUUGGUAAAGCUGCGAUGUGGGGACGGAGAAGGUUAGGUUAUCGACCUGUUGGAGAUGGUCGUUUAAGUUGGUAGGUGGGUGAGUUAGGGAAUCCGGCUCUCACCGUUAACACUGAGAGAUGAUGACGAGGCACUAAGGUGCUGAAGUAACUGAUACCACACUUCCAGGAAAAGCCACUAAGCUUCAGGCUUUACUAAACCGUACUGAAAACCGACACAGGUGGUCAGGUAGAGAAUACUCAGGCGCUUGAGAGAACUCGGGUGAAGGAACUAGGCAAAAUAGCACCGUAACUUCGGGAGAAGGUGCGCCGGCGUAGAUUGUAGUGACUUGCUCACGAAGGUUGAACCGGUCGAAGAUACCAGCUGGCUGCAACUGUUUAUUAAAAACACAGCACUCUGCAAACACGAAAGUGGACGUAUAGGGUGUGAUGCCUGCCCGGUGCUGGAAGGUUAAUUGAUGGUGUAAUCGAAAGAGAAGCUCCUGAUCGAAGCCCCAGUAAACGGCGGCCGUAACUAUAACGGUCCUAAGGUAGCGAAAUUCCUUGUCGGGUAAGUUCCGACCUGCACGAAUGGCAUAAUGAUGGCCAGGCUGUCUCCACCCGAGACUCAGUGAAAUUGAAAUCGCCGUGAAGAUGCGGUGUACCCGCGGCUAGACGGAAAGACCCCGUGAACCUUUACUAUAGCUUGACACUGAACCUUGAAUUUUGAUGUGUAGGAUAGGUGGGAGACUAUGAAGCGGUAACGCCAGUUAUCGUGGAGUCGUUGUUGAAAUACCACCCUUUAACGUUUGAUGUUCUAACGAAGUGCCUGAAACGGGUACUCGGACAGUGUCUGGUGGGUAGUUUGACUGGGGCGGUCUCCUCCCAAAGUGUAACGGAGGAGCACGAAGGUUUGCUAAUGACGGUCGGACAUCGUCAGGUUAGUGCAAUGGUAUAAGCAAGCUUAACUGCGAGACAGACAAGUCGAGCAGGUGCGAAAGCAGGUCAUAGUGAUCCGGUGGUUCUGAAUGGAAGGGCCAUCGCUCAACGGAUAAAAGGUACUCCGGGGAUAACAGGCUGAUACCGCCCAAGAGUUCAUAUCGACGGCGGUGUUUGGCACCUCGAUGUCGGCUCAUCACAUCCUGGGGCUGAAGUAGGUCCCAAGGGUAUGGCUGUUCGCCAUUUAAAGUGGUACGCGAGCUGGGUUUAGAACGUCGUGAGACAGUUCGGUCCCUAUCUGCCGUGGGCGUUGGAGAAUUGAGAGGGGCUGCUCCUAGUACGAGAGGACCGGAGUGGACGCAUCACUGGUGUACCAGUUGUCUCGCCAGAGGCACAGCUGGGUAGCUAAAUGCGGAAGAGAUAAGUGCUGAAAGCAUCUAAGCACGAAACUUGCCUCAAGAUGAGUUCUCCCAGUCUAUAAGACUGUAAGGGUUGUUGGAGACUACGACGUAGAUAGGCUGGGUGUGUAAGCGGUGUGAGCCGUUGAGCUAACCAGUACUAAUUGCCCGAGAGGCUUAACUAU